rnacentral:lncRNA from 1 species
CAUGUUUUCAAAUGAUUUAUAGAACACAGUUUAAAAUUCGAAUCUAUUCAUUUUUCCCUAAUUUCGAAAUUUGUUCAGGAUUUUUGUAAACUAUAUCCUGCAUAGUUGAGUAUUAAUCAGACCUCUUAUCAAAUGAUACAAUACCAAUGAGGCCAUCUAACUUAAAGCAUUGAUACUACAUGUUUUACAUAAUUAGCUAUAGCUCAUUAAAAGAAUACAUGUUCUUUUUUAUUAUAUAUAAAACAAAUAAGUGUCUACUAGUAUCAUGAUAUUUAGUCUGAGAUUUAUAAAACUAUGAUUUAUGUAGUUGUACAAAGUAUAUAUGAAUCCUAGGAAUAUUACUAGCUAGACUUAAAAUUGUAUGACUGAGGACUGUAAAACUUGAAUGGAUUUCCAUCGAAUAAGAAAUUUCUGUCGAAUCAUUCUUGUUACUUUACAAAAUUUCUUUAUGUACCAUAUAAUAAAACAUAUUAGAAAAAUCGUAAAAACUUCACAGACUAUCAUGCAAGUACAAUAUGAAAAAGUACGUAUGAAUUUGGCAUGCAUUUAUUAAAAUACAUGUAUAUAAACAGACAACUACAAAUAUUACAUUGUGUAUUGCAAAUCAAAAAUCAUUCUGCAAUAAACAAGCAAAUAUAAAGUAUGUUCAGAGUAGGGACUAGAAAAAUAUUUGUAACUUGUGAGGUAGCAAUAGAACAUCUUUGCAAAGAUAUCAGUUUUACAACAUUCAAAACAAAACUAGACAUCUAUAUAAAACUGGCAAGACUUACAUUUAAAACAUCAAGAUAUAAAAAUAUAAGCCAAAUUUACCCUAAGAGUCUGAGCUGCGCCAGAUAGAAAUGGUCCUUAUUUAAGUUCAAGUAUACACAUGUACAUGUUAAAGACUUUGGUUGGUUAUGGACCAUCCAAAUAGGAUAUAAAAGAUGAAUCUGAUCUGUUUUGUAGGAGUUCUCGCUGCAUUGAAGACCCAUUGGUGGUCUUCGGCUAUUGUCUGCUCUUUGGUCAGGUUGUUGUCUCUUUGACACAUUCCCCAUUUCCAUUCUCAAUUUUAUUUUUAUAUAAUCUCCAUUUCCCAAAAGUUGAAGACUUUGCAUUAAGAUUUUUUCAACCCAAAAGAAAUAAACAGAUGUAUUGAUAAUGGCAGUUAUUCCAGUGGCGGAUCCAGCCAUUUCCCAACACAGAGUAAAGGGGGGGUUCCAACUAUAUGCUCCCAUUCAAAUGCAUUGAUCGGUCAAAAAAAGGGGGGUUCCAACCCCCACAACCCCUCCCCCCCUUGGAUUCGCCACUGUAUUGAUUUGCAUAAGGCAUAUCUAUCAGACACAGCUCAUUUGUUAUUAAAAAUACAAAGAUGCAGGAUCGAAAUUUCAUUCACAUCUUGUGAAUUUGACUCCUGGAACUUAUUCAUACUCUACUGAUAAAUUACUGCUGAUUAAACUGUCAUAACAUCACAAGCACAGCAUAUACGAACCUUAAGACAGUAAAGAGCAGACUAAUUUUUCCAUUCACAUCCAUAAUCAAAAAUGUACAUGAGAAUAUAAAGAAAUUUUAUAUCAAAGAACAAUUUGGCCCUUUAAUUUCACCAAAAUACAACGUUGCUUAAUGUCAUUACUAACCACAUUUUUGUAAGCACCAAAAGAAAGGCUUUUCAAAAAAUGUGAAGCUUAGCCAAGCGUUUACUUCUGAUGUAAUGAGAAAGAAUUGUCGGACAUUUAAAUCCAAAUGGCUCAUAGAAAGAACAUUUCGGUUAUUAUGAUUUAUAAAAAAGUACAAAUUUUGCCCAAAAUAAUUAUGUCAAAUGAAUAAAUUAACACAAAAUGCCUUUACUUAAAUAUCAUUUUGUGCACCUGCUAUGCUCUAUAUUACAUUCUCUAUAUUACAUUUAAGCAAGUGUUUAUUAUUUAGACUAAGGUUUUGCAUAUUUUAAGCCAUUUACAUUAACUUUUAACAUGUUACUGUAA